UAGUGAUUAACGCGAAGAACCUUACCUGGGCUCGAAAUGCAGAUGACAACCGAUGAAAGUCGGCUCCCGCAAGGGCGUCUGUAUAGGUGCUGCAUGGCUGUCGUCAGCUCGUGUCGUGAGAUGUUGGGUUAAGUCCCGCAACGAGCGCAACCCUCGUCCUCUGUUGCCAUCAGGUCAAGCUGGGCACUCUGAGGAGACUGCCGGUGAUAAACCGGAGGAAGGUGGGGAUGACGUCAAGUCAGCAUGGCCUUUAUGUCCAGGGCCACACACGUGCUACAAUGGGCGGUACAAAGGGUCGCAAACCCGCGAGGGGGAGCCAAUCCCAAAAAGCCGCUCUCAGUUCGGAUUGGAGUCUGCAACUCGACUCCAUGAAGUUGGAAUCGCUAGUAAUCGCGGAUCAGCACGCCGCGGUGAAUACGUUCCCGGGCCUUGUCACACCGAAUCGAAUUCC
rnacentral:rRNA from 1 species